CAUUAACAGGUGAGGGAUGUUUAUUAAUGACCCCCACACUGGGUCUGAUAUGAAAAAUUCUUAUGAAAAUUUAUUCCUCUCUAAAAAAGCAAUGACUUAUUCAAAAGAAGGAGAUGAUUUGUGUGGAGGCAGGGAGGGGGGAGCCACAAUGAAGUUUCUGGGACUGGUACAUUUGAAAAUCAGCUCUUCAGGGCAACAUAAAUAAAUACAGCAGAACCCCGAAGAAAAUAAAAUAACAUGAAUCAUAAAUCAAAGCAACGUAGUGGAGCUGCAGAGGACAUCACAAAUAGAUGGGAUAACAGAAGGAAAUAUUGGCUGUGGCAUAAAUAGCUCUUAAUAAAUCAUGAACCAACAGGAGCAGGGCAGCAGCUUCCCCACUGAAGAUAAGGACAGCUGGAAACAUCUUGGUGGUGCUUGUGCAGGCACUGCAGACAUGGGCUGGAGAUGAAGGAAUUUGCUGGAGACCUCUGGAGUCCUUCUGCAUUUGACAGGAAUGUCAUUGGCCUGAGAGGAUGUGGGAGAUUGAACUGGUUGAUGAUUUAAAUGUUCAGAGAUAGUAAAAUACCCACCCAGGAGCAGAGGGUGAGCAGAGCCCACCUCAGGCUACACUUGGGUGCUGAACAAGGUAGGAAGAAAAUCCUGUGAGGAGGGAACUGUUACUUUGUCCUUCAUUAGGAUACUCAGGAUGCAGGAUUUUAGGAUAAUUAGGAUUUUAGGAUAAUUGGGAUUUUAGGAUAAUCAGGAUUUAUCUUUAAUUAGGAUACUCAGCUGGGGUACAUCCCCUGCCUGGGAAGCACUGGGACAUUCACACGUGGCCUCAAUGGCCUCAAGGAGCUAAUCUCUGCUGGUGGGCCAUAAUGGGCUCAACUGGGCUGAAUUAAUGGGCAGCUGUGUCUCAGAAGGUGUCCAAAAUUCCCCAAAGCUUCCAUGAUCCACAGCAUUACCACAUCCGUGUAUCCUGUGAUUCCAACAGUCAGUCAAAACUCAUCACCCCAGGGGAGGUACCUGGGCGUUUCUACUUAAACCUGAGUGAAUAUAAACCCAACAGAGGGUGUAUUCUGGGUUUUACUGGGGAUUUUCCCCCACCAUCUAUUGGGAUUUCCCCCGCCAGCCAGUGGAUCCAUUUUGUGACCAUCAUUUUGACCAACAUUUUGACCUCUGUCCCUGGAGGUGUUUAAGAAAAGAGCAGAUGUGGUGCUUAAUGCCAUGGUCCGGUGGACAAGGUGGUGUUGGGUCAUAGUUUGGUGACCUUCAAUGUCUUUUCCAGCCUCGUUGAUUCUGUGAUUCUGUGAUCUCUGGGGUGACUGAUGGUGACAUGGCCUUGAGAAGAACCCACCUGCAGUGCUGCCUCCAGCUCUGAGCUCCCCAACACAGGAAGGACAUGGAGAUGUUGGAGUGAGUCCAGAGAAGGCCAUCAAGGGAGGUGCUGGUGAAUAUCUGUGUCCUGGAUGAGGCAGGCGGUCAGACAAGUUGAAACACUGGGUUCUCUUCUCCUAAAGCAACAAGAGGCAGGACAAGAGGAAUCAAACUCAGUUUGCAUCAGGGGAGUUUCAGGUUUGAUUUUGGAAAAAUAUCUUCGUUGAAAGAGAGGUUAAGCACUGGAAGAGGUUUCCAAGAAAAGUGAUGCAGUCACCAUCCCUGGAAAAGCUCAAAAAGCAGCACCUGCAGAACCCCAAGAUGAAGAAGGCAGAGCAUCAAUGUAACACAGAAUCAUUAAAUAUCCUGAGUUGCAAGGGACACACAAGGACCAUGGACAAUCCCAAAAAUCCCACCAUGUGCCAGACAGACAGUGUUGGCAUAGAGGAAAGGGAAGAAUGAAAAAGAAUAAAAAUAUAUAUUUUAAAAAAUGCAUUAAAGAAAUAAUAAGAGCAGGAAGAUCAUGGAACUGUCUCCCAGCUGGAGCUGAGGGAACCAAAUCUAGAAGAAAAAAAGCAAGAGCAGGUCAUCAGGGAUUGCUUGACUACUGAACAAGCAUUUUUUGCUUGUACCAGAACUGAUUUUUGUUGUUGUUGUUGUCGGUUUGUUUCAUUUUGCUUUUUCUCUCCAGCCUGGUACAAGCACUUUCACUGUCCCUGAUGUCUGUUAUGAUCUGUUAGAGGUUGUUAAAUCCAAUAACCCAAUAUAUGAGCUGCUGCUGUAGCUCCAUGUCCCCAGGUGCAGCCAGCAGGAAAACCGAGCACAUUUUCCAGCUGGGAGCCCCCAUUAUGUUUUAUUUUAUAUUUAUAUACCCAUUUAUCUGCAUAUCCAUGGCCAGUCACACAGAUCAAUAGGGACAGGAAACACAAACCAAUGCCAUCCACAGGAAUAACAUCCAUUUAAAUGCACAGCACUCCCAGAAACAUGAAGAGCUCCAGUGGACUGAUGCUGCUCCUCCUCUGAGCUGACCAGGACUGAAGUUACUCCAGGAAUACUCACACACACUCCAUGGGUUUCUCCAGGCUUGGAUGUGCUGUUCAGGAGCAGGUCUUCAAACCCUCAAGUCUUCCCCCUUGCUGCCACCUGAACCUUUGAACCCUGAUGCUUCAAAAGAGUAAUAAAAUGUCCCACAUUGGAAGGGACCUGCAGGGAUCAAGUCCAACUCCUCACCCUGCACAGGAGAUCCCAAA